AGAAGUCGUAACAAGGUUUCCGUAGGUGAACCUGCGGAAGGAUCAUU
rnacentral:rRNA from 24 species